GAGGGGGGUGCAAACGUUAUUCGGAUUUACUGGGUGUAAAGGGUGUGUAGACGGGUUGUUAAGUUCGUUGUUAAAUCUUCCGGGCCUAACCGGGAAGCUCGCGAUGGAAACUGGCAGUCUUGAGGAUGGAAGAGAGAAGUGGAAUUCUCGGAGUAGCGGUAAAAUGCGUAGAUCUCGAGAGGAACACCGAUGGCGAAGGCAGCUUCUUGGUCCAUUCCUGACGUUGAGACACGAAAGCGUGGGGAGCAAACAGGAUUAGAUACCCUGGUAGUCCACGCUGUAAACGAUGAUCACUAGAUGUUGGCCCUGUUUUGCAGGGUUAGUAUCGAAGCUAACGCGUUAAGUGAUCCACCUGGGAACUACGAUCGCAAAGAUUA
rnacentral:rRNA from 1 species